rnacentral:lncRNA from 1 species
CUAGCUUGGAAGUUUUGUGGCUGAGCCAAGAGCCAGCAGCCCAGGCCCGGCGCCUGGACACAUUGCUAGCCUGCUUCAACCUUUCCUCCUCAAGAGAAGAGCUGCAAUCCGUGGAGAGCCCGUUGAGGGCGCUGUGCUGCCUCUUGAUCUACCUGUUUGUCCAGGUGAAUGCACGCUCGCUCACAGUUCUGUACCUCAGAGGAGGUAGCCCUUCGUCUCUGCCCUCACCUUCCUGGAGUGCUGCGAGGGUCUCCAGGCCAGGCCCAAGGUCUCUUUCCACAGAACACAGUUAAUCCUUCAAGAUGCUCAUGGAGAUGACAGGUCAGGACUUUUCACAAGAGAUUAGUGUAUGGGCAAGUCAAUGGUGGACAUAUUUGUUCACAAUCUUGACU